rnacentral:rRNA from 1 species
GACGAACGCUGGCGGCGUGCUUAACACAUGCAAGUCGAACGCUGAAGCUCAGCUUUUGUUGGGUGGAUGAGUGGCGAACGGGUGAGUAACACGUGAGUAACCUGCCCCCUUCUUUGGGAUAACGCCCGGAAACGGGUGCUAAUACUGGAUAUUCACUGGUCUUCGCAUGGGGGUUGGUGGAAAGGGUUUUUCUGGUGGGGGAUGGGCUCGCGGCCUAUCAGCUUGUUGGUGGGGUGAUGGCCUACCAAGGCUUUGACGGGUAGCCGGCCUGAGAGGGUGACCGGUCACAUUGGGACUGAGAUACGGCCCAGAAUCCUACGGGAGGCAGCAGUGGGGAAUAAUGCACAAUGGGCGCAAGCCUGAUGCAGCGACGCCGCGUGAGGGAUGGAGGCCUUCGGGUUGUGAACCUCUUUCGCUCAUGGUCAAGCCGCAACAAUGGUUGUGGUGAGGGUAGUGGGUAAAGAAGCGCCGGCUAACUACGUG